GAAACAAGAUGGAAUCAGGAAAUGCAUGUGUAGCUAUACGAGUUAUGGAUGCAACGGUCGAAAGACCUGUGCGGCCAACUUUGCCGGGAAUCGGAAGAAACUGGAGAACAGCGAGAAAUGGUUUUGUCGUUCUAUUGGCGGCCGCGACGGUGGCAUGUAUUUCUGCAUUCUACGCCAUGCAAGCCCUCCGUGCGCAGCAAACAGAUCCGACUAAACUCGAUAAAAAUAUUUAUUGGGAGCGCGUCACUGCGGAACUGAGCCUGUUUUGUACAGCUAGCUUUGUAUUUUGUGGACUGAUAGUUUGGUACAUGGAUUAUCUCCGUUACAAUUUUAAUGAUCCGACCGUCGUCCCAGUCAGCAACGUUUAAUUUUCUUAUUUCCCUUUUUCUUUUAAUUUAACGAAUCGAGACAUUCUUAAGUAAAUUAGACAAUCUAUUGAUUAAAUGAUGCUGCUGUAUUCUUAAUUGUUUAAUAAAACCAUUUUCAUUUUCUCAAUUACAACUCUUCUUGUACAGGCAGAUUUGUCUCAUUUGCUACUCAUCUGCAAGAGCUAAUUCCAAUGCGUAGUCGUCUCUUUCCUGCAAUUCAUUCGUUCAUUAUAUCAAAUAUUCACAUAUACAUGGUAAUAGAUGGG
rnacentral:lncRNA from 1 species